rnacentral:rRNA from 1 species
CGCUGGCGGCAUGCUUAACACAUGCAAGUCGAACGGACUGAUUCCUUCGGGGAUGAAAGUUAGUGGCGAACGGGUGAGUAAUGUAUGAGCAACCUGCCUCUGUCAACGGGAUAACAGUUGGAAACGACUGCUAAUACGGUAUAUGACCACGGAACCGCAUGGUUCUGCGGUAAAAGAUUUUAUCGGACAGAGAUGGGCUCAUAUCCCAUUAGGUAGUUGGUGAGGUAACGGCCCACCAAGCCGACGAUCAGUAGCCGGUCUGAGAGGAUGAACGGCCACACUGGAACUGAGACACGGUCCAGACUCCUACGGGAGGCAGCAGUGGGGAAUCUUCCGCAAUGGGCGAAAGCCUGACGGAGCAACGCCGCGUGAGUGAUGACGGCCUUCGGGUUGUAAAGCUCUGUGAUCGGGGACGAAUGGUCAGCAGACGAAUACUCUGCUGAAGUGACGGUACCCGAAUAGCAAGCCACGGCUAACUACGUG